rnacentral:rRNA from 1 species
UACGUAGGGUGCAAGCGUUGUCCGGAAUUAUUGGGCGUAAAGAGCUUGUAGGCGGUUUGUCGCGUCUGCUGUGAAAUUUCGGGGCUCAACCCCGAACUUGCAGUGGGUACGGGCAGACUAGAGUGUGGUAGGGGAGACUGGAAUUCCGGGUGUAGUGGUGAAAUGCGUAGAGAUCCGGAGGAACCCCAGAGGCGAAGGCGGCGCCCUGGCUCGCAACUGACGCUCAGACACGACAGCAUGGGGAGCGAACGGG